GAUGAACGCUGGCGGCGUGCCUAAUACAUGCAAGUCGAGCGAACAGACGAGGAGCUUGCUCCUCUGACGUUAGCGGCGGACGGGUGAGUAACACGUGGAUAACCUACCUAUAAGACUGGGAUAACUUCGGGAAACCGGAGCUAAUACCGGAUAAUAUAUUGAACCGCAUGGUUCAAUAGUGAAAGACGGUUUUGCUGUCACUUAUAGAUGGAUCCGCGCCGCAUUAGCUAGUUGGUAAGGUAACGGCUUACCAAGGCAACGAUGCGUAGCCGACCUGAGAGGGUGAUCGGCCACACGGGAGCUGAGACACGGUCCAGGCUCCUACGGUAGGCAGCAGUAGGGAAUCGUCCGCAGUGGGCGGAAGCCUGACGGAGCAACGCCGCGUGAGUGAUGAAGGUCUUCGGAUCGUAAUACUCUGUUAUUAGGGAAGAACAAAUGUGUAAGUAACUAUGCACGUCUUGACGGUACCUGGUCAGAAAGCCACGGCUAACUACGUG
rnacentral:rRNA from 1 species